GAUGAAGAACGUAGCGAAAUGCGAUACGUAAUGUGAAUUGCAGAAUUCAGUGAAUCAUCGAGUCUUUGAACGCACAUUGCGCCCCCUGGUAUUCCGGGGGGCAUGCCUGUCCGAGCGUCAUUGCUGCCUUCAAGCACGGCUUGUGUGUUGGGCCUCCGUCCUCCUCCCGGGGGACGGGCCCGAAAGGCAGCGGCGGCACCGCGUCCGGUCCUCGAGCGUAUGGGGCUUCGUCACCCGCUCUUGUAGGCCCGGCCGGCGCUUGCCGACACAUCAAUCUUUUUUCCAGGUUGACCUCGGAUCAGGUAGGGAUACCCGCUGAACUUAAGCAUAUCAAUAAGCGGAGGA
rnacentral:misc_RNA from 1 species